GACGAACGCUGGCGGCGUGCUUAACACAUGCGAGUCGAACGGAAAGGCCCUGCUUUUGUGGGGUGCUCGAGUGGCGAACGGGUGAGUAACACGUGAGUAACCUGCCCUUGACUUUGGGAUAACUUCAGGAAACUGGGGCUAAUACCGGAUAGGAGCUCCUGCUGCAUGGUGGGGGUUGGAAAGUUUCGGCGGUUGGGGAUGGACUCGCGGCUUAUCAGCUUGUUGGUGGGGUAGUGGCUUACCAAGGCUUUGACGGGUAGCCGGCCUGAGAGGGUAACCGGCCACAUUGGGACUGAGAUACGGCCCAGACUCCUACGGGAGGCAGCAGUGGGGAAUAUUGCACAAUGGGCGGAAGCCUGAUGCAGCAACGCCGCGUGCGGGAUGACGGCCUUCGGGUUGUAAACCGCUUUCGCCUGUGACGAAGCGUGAGUGACGGUAAUGGGUAAAGAAGCACCGGCUAACUACGU
rnacentral:rRNA from 1 species